UCAUGUGACAUGCAGGAAGUGUGUGUUCUCACAUGAAGUAGGUUGUGUGUGUGUUUUCAGCACAGAGCUUCAUGUUAGCUGGAAUGACAGCAGGAAGUUCUGUGUGCUGCCUGGAAGGACGACUGAGACAUUUGUCUUUUUGUCUGUGACUUAUACAACCUCUAUGUUCUCACACACAGAGUCCAGUCAGUGGAUGUGUGUCCUCAUGUAUCAGCUGGAGGAGGAAAUCAUCUCUGGUUACAUACAGUAAACAGAGCUGGAGCAGGACCAGGAGGUAGGACCAGGAGGUAGGACCAGGAGGUAGGACCAGGAGGUAGGACCAGGAGGUAGGACCAGGCCCCUGCAGCACACAACACUGCCCUCAUCAGGAACACCUGCAUCCAGGCAGCCAAUCAGACUGCAGCAUGACUUCAUCUGUAAUCUGAUUACAGCUUUCAUCUGAAGUUUAUCUGCAUCAAAACAAACACACACAUGGCCUGUAACACACUCCUUAUAUGGACGCAUCCUGUGUGUGUGAGAGAGAGAGAGAGAUGAUUCAUCCAGGAGAAAGACGAUGACCUCAUCAGCAACAUCUGGAACCAGGAGAGAAAGUGUGUCUGUGUCUGCCUGUGUGUUUGUGUGUCUGUGUGUGUGCCUGUGGGUGUGUGUGUGUGCCACCUGAAUCUGUGUCAGGUAUUCUGGGACUGUAACUGAGGCCACAUUCACAUUAGUCCCAUUGUUCAGUUCUGACACUACAUGUAUCAGAUCUGCCCGUCAUGGUGCAGCAACCUCCGUCACCAGCUGGAGGACCUACAACAUCUGUCCACUGCUCUUUCCAUGAGUCUCAUUUCUGUUCAUGUUUCCUCUCUCACAGGGGCAGCACCUCCUGCCAGGACUUCCUAGAAAUCCUUCAGCUGAGCCCCCAGGCCUCAUGGCUGCCAGGGGGGUUCCCAAACAACGCUGCGUUGCCGUGGAGACGCCCCAGCCUGUUGCCUCGGUGACCCCACUUGCUCAGAGCACACACAUGGAUGUCCAGACCCACACACGGUCCUGUGUGCUGUGUUUUCCAGUGAGAGCCAGAGGCCGCUUGUGCAGCUGACUGUGGGGGACUUGGAGCUGACGGAGGUCUUUAGAUCCACGCUGCACCUCUGAACUGCAUGUGACAACCAGGCGGGUCAUGUGACUCAUCAGUGGUUUGUGUUGGACAUACGGACACAUGAAGUCCGUCCAGGUGUGUCUGAGAUUCUGAAGGACAAACCCCUC
rnacentral:lncRNA from 1 species